rnacentral:rRNA from 1 species
UACGUAGGUGGCAAGCGUUAUCCGGAAUUAUUGGGCGUAAAGCGCGCGCAGGCGGUUUCUUAAGUCUGAUGUGAAAGCCCACGGCUCAACCGUGGAGGGUCAUUGGAAACUGGGGAACUUGAGUGCAGGAGAGAAGAGUGGAAUUCCACGUGUAGCGGUGAAAUGCGUAGAGAUGUGGAGGAACACCAGUGGCGAAGGCGACUCUUUGGCCUGUAACUGACGCUGAGGCGCGAAAGCGUGGGGAGCAAACAGG